CAGCCGCCGCGGGAAUACGUAGGGCGCAAGCGUUAUCCGGAAUUAUUGGGCGUAAAGAGCUCGUAGGCGGUUUGUCGCGUCUGCCGUGAAAGUCCGGGGCUCAACCCCGGAUCUGCGGUGGGUACGGGCAGACUAGAGUGAUGUAGGGGAGACUGGAAUUCCUGGUGUAGCGGUGAAAUGCGCAGAUAUCAGGAGGAACACCGAUGGCGAAGGCAGGUCUCUGGGCAUUAACUGACGCUGAGGAGCGAAAGCAUGGGAAGCGAACAGGAUUAGAUACCCGGGUAGUCCCUGUCUCUUAUAC
rnacentral:rRNA from 1 species